GUAGGUGGGCAAGCGUUGUCCGGAAUUAUUGGGCGUAAAGCGCGCGCAGGGUGGUUCUUUAAGUCUGAUGUGAAAGCCCCCGGGCUCAACCGGGGAGGGUCAUUGGAAACUGGGGAACUUGAGUGCAGGAGAGGAAAGUGGAAUUCCACGUGUAGCGGUGAAAUGCGUAGAUAUGUGGAGGAACACCAGUGGCGAAGGCGACUUUCUGGCCUGUAACUGACACUGAGGCGCGAAAACGUGGGGAGCAAACAGGAUUAGAUACCCUGGUAGUCCACGCCGUAAACGAUGAGUGCUAAGUGUUGGGGGGUUUCCGCCCCUCAGUGCUGCAGCUAACGCAUUAAGCACUCCGCCUGGGGAGUACGGUCGCAAGACUG
rnacentral:rRNA from 1 species